GAUCAUGGCUCAGAUUGAACGCUGGCGGCAGGCCUAACACAUGCAAGUCGAACGGUAACAGGAAGCAGCUUGCUGCUUUGCUGACGAGUGGCGGACGGGUGAGUAAUGUCUGGGAAACUGCCUGAUGGAGGGGGAUAACUACUGGAAACGGUGGCUAAUACCGCAUAACGUCGCAAGACCAAAGAGGGGGACCUUCGGGCCUCUUGCCAUCAGAUGUGCCCAGAUGGGAUUAGCUUGUUGGUGAGGUAACGGCUCACCAAGGCGACGAUCCCUAGCUGGUCUGAGAGGAUGACCAGCCACACUGGAACUGAGACACGGUCCAGACUCCUACGGGAGGCAGCAGUGGGGAAUAUUGCACAAUGGGCGCAAGCCUGAUGCAGCCAUGCCGCGUGUAUGAAGAAGGCCUUCGGGUUGUAAAGUACUUUCAGCGGGGAGGAAGGUGUUGUGGUUAAUAACCGCAGCAAUUGACGUUACCCGCAGAAGAAGCACCGGCUAACUCCGUGCCAGCAGCCGCGGUAAUACGGAGGGUGCAAGCGUUAAUCGGAAUUACUGGGCGUAAAGCGCACGCAGGCGGUCUGUCAAGUCGGAUGUGAAAUCCCCGGGCUCAACCUGGGAACUGCAUUCGAAACUGGCAGGCUUGAGUCUUGUAGAGGGGGGUAGAAUUCCAGGUGUAGCGGUGAAAUGCGUAGAGAUCUGGAGGAAUACCGGUGGCGAAGGCGGCCCCCUGGACAAAGACUGACGCUCAGGUGCGAAAGCGUGGGGAGCAAACAGGAUUAGAUACCCUGGUAGUCCACGCCGUAAACGAUGUCUACUUGGAGGUUGUGCCCUUGAGGCGUGGCUUCCGGAGCUAACGCGUUAAGUAGACCGCCUGGGGAGUACGGCCGCAAGGUUAAAACUCAAAUGAAUUGACGGGGGCCCGCACAAGCGGUGGAGCAUGUGGUUUAAUUCGAUGCAACGCGAAGAACCUUACCUGGUCUUGACAUCCACAGAAGAAUCCAGAGAUGGAUUUGUGCCUUCGGGAACUGUGAGACAGGUGCUGCAUGGCUGUCGUCAGCUCGUGUUGUGAAAUGUUGGGUUAAGUCCCGCAACGAGCGCAACCCUUAUCCUUUGUUGCCAGCGGUUAGGCCGGGAACUCAAAGGAGACUGCCAGUGAUAAACUGGAGGAAGGUGGGGAUGACGUCAAGUCAUCAUGGCCCUUACGACCAGGGCUACACACGUGCUACAAUGGCGCAUACAAAGAGAAGCGACCUCGCGAGAGCAAGCGGACCUCAUAAAGUGCGUCGUAGUCCGGAUUGGAGUCUGCAACUCGACUCCAUGAAGUCGGAAUCGCUAGUAAUCGUGGAUCAGAAUGCCACGGUGAAUACGUUCCCGGGCCUUGUACACACCGCCCGUCACACCAUGGGAGUGGGUUGCAAAAGAAGUAGGUAGCUUAACCUUCGGGAGGGCGCUUACCACUUUGUGAUUCAUGACUGGGGUGAAGUCGUAACAAGGUAACCGUAGGGGAACCUGCGGUUGGAUCACCUCCUUA
rnacentral:rRNA from 1 species